AUUGAACGCUGGCGGCAUGCCUUACACAUGCAAGUCGAACGGUAACAGGUCUUCGGAUGCUGACGAGUGGCGAACGGGUGAGUAAUACAUCGGAACGUGCCCGAUCGUGGGGGAUAACGAAGCGAAAGCUUUGCUAAUACCGCAUACGAUCUACGGAUGAAAGCAGGGGACCGCAAGGCCUUGCGCGAACGGAGCGGCCGAUGGCAGAUUAGGUAGUUGGUGGGGUAAAAGCUUACCAAGCCGACGAUCUGUAGCUGGUCUGAGAGGACGACCAGCCACACUGGGACUGAGACACGGCCCAGACUCCUACGGGAGGCAGCAGUGGGGAAUUUUGGACAAUGGGCGAAAGCCUGAUCCAGCCAUGCCGCGUGCAGGAUGAAGGCCUUCGGGUUGUAAACUGCUUUUGUACGGAACGAAAAGACUCUGGUUAAUACCUGGGGUCCAUGACGGUACCGGAAGAAUAAGCACCGGCUAACUACGUG
rnacentral:rRNA from 1 species